rnacentral:rRNA from 1 species
CCGUUCGGUUGGUACGUGAGCGGCGGACGGGGGAGUAACGCGUGGGUAACCUAGCCUCGUACAGGGGGGUAACAGUUGGAAACGGCUGCUAAUACCGCAUAAGCGCACAGUACCGCAUGGUACGGUGUGAAAAACUCCGGUGGUAUGAGAUGGACCCGCGUCUGAUUAGGUAGUUGGUGGGGUAACGGCCUACCAAGCCGACGAUGGAUAGGGGUUCUGAGAGGAAGGUCCCCCACAUUGGAACUGAGACACGGUCCAA